rnacentral:rRNA from 1 species
GAUGAACGCUGGCGGCGUGCCUAAUACAUGCAAGUCGAGCGAACGGACGAGAAGCUUGCUUCUCUGAUGUUAGCGGCGGACGGGUGAGUAACACGUGGAUACCCUACCUAUAAGACUGGGAUAACUUCGGGAAACCGUAGCUAAUACCGGAUAAUCUUUUGAACCGCAUGGUUCAAAAGUGAAAGACGGUCUUGCUGUCACUUAUAGCUGGAUCCGCGCUGCAUUAGCUAGUUGGUAAGGUAACGGCUUACCAAGGCAACGAUGCAUAGCCGACCUGAGAGGGUGAUCGGCCACACUGGAGCUGAGACACGGUCCAGACUCCGACGGGAGGCAGCAGUAGGGAAGCUUCCGCAAUGGGCGAAAGCCUGACGGAGCAACGCCGCGUGAGUGAUGAAGGUCUUCGGAUCGUAAAACUCUGUUAUUAGGGAAGAACAUAUGUGUAAGUAACUGUGCACAUCUUGACGGUACCUAAUCAGAAAGCCACGGCUAACUACGU